ensembl:snRNA U6 U6 spliceosomal RNA
UACUCCAGCCUGGGUGACAGUGAGAUCCUGAUAUGGAGCAGAUUAGCACGUUCUCUACACAAGAAUAACAUGCAAACUUGUGAAGUGUUCCAUAUUUUU